CAAUAAACCUGAGGUCAUGUCCCAGCCCGCUGUAAUGAGAAACAGACAACCAGUGUGUGAUUACAGGGAGCCAGAGCAAUGAUAGACACCGUCCAAAAGUCGUUUACCGUCAGGUUGCGUGAGCCUGACGAGGAUUUUUCCACAGAAGUGCACUGACACAAGACAAGAGAUGACUCACUUCAAUGGCACUAUGAAGAACUGCAACUGCUUUUCAACACCAACGAAACCGCCUACGUCACGCAUGGGCGUUGCGAUUUCACCCAGGGAGGGGUCGUUUUCUGGAUAAGGCAGUGAAAAAGGAAAGAUCCGCUUCGGCCAGCCUUCGCAGAGCGGACACCGGAGACAUAACCGAAAAGCGGGGAUGCAGUCAAAGCAGCUGAAAUGUGUGUGGAGAGAUUUAUUUUCUGAUACGGACGUCAGUGCCUGCUGUGGAGUUCACUAUUUGUCUGACUUGCUUCGGUCCAUUGACGCAUGUUUCCUUAAAUGGGCAGUUGCGUCAGAGAGCGCGUGUGGGUUUCCUUGGUAAAGGAAGCGUCAGACACUGGAGGGAUUCCCUCCCCUCGCGCAGCAGCACUCCGGAUUCGGAGCUCUCGUUGCUCGGGUACCGGUUCUGUUCCUCAUCAGUGCUGGAAGAAGAUAUAUCUAAGCUCUAAACGCAUUAUUAUAAAGAGAAUAAGGUCGCAAAUGUUGAACGCUGCUCAGCGCACAUGCGCAGACAUAGUAGGAGUUCGUUUAGAGCAUGAACAUGACCUCUUUUAAGUUCAUUAUGAGCCCGAAUGAUUCAAUAUCCACAUCUGUGUAAAGCCCAGAAUGAAAAGCCUUCAUGUUUAAAGAGAGAAGAGAGACGCCCGAUGCUCCUACAGUUUACAGGCACGCGAGUGAAACAUCCACAGGCUUUCAUGUACGACUGUCCUGGUAAUCCUGUUCUGGACUGUCCUGGUAAUAAAGACCACUGAAAACGAUUGGUCAUGCGGCA